AGAGAGAGAGAGAGAGAGAGAACGCGUGCGGUCGAAUUAUAAUGAAGACGGACAAACGAAUGGACGAACGUAAUCGUCGUUUUCCGGGAUGAUGUUAAAACGUUAUGAAGUUGUGAAUGAGAACCGAUAUCGAUCUACCUUUGAAACGAUACCAGGAAUGAAAUCCGAUCGUUAACGAACGAUUACGAAGGAGACCGAAGGAACGCGCUUGGAAACAAUCAAAUGGAUUCGCCGGCAUAUGGCGAAUCCUGUUAUAUUCACGACGAAUGUUCAACGUUCGGUUAUGAUCAAGAAACACAAAAAAAAGAAAUAUCAAUACAACAAGAAAAGAGAUAAUAAACUGCUAGUAAACUAAGAAAUACAAAUUUAAGUAGAAACAAAUUAAUAUUAUUGUUAUUGAGAGAAUGGUGAAACUUGUAUAUAUUCGAUCACAAAAACGAAAAA